rnacentral:rRNA from 1 species
UGCCAGCCGCCGCGGUAAUACGGAGGGUGCAAGCGUUAUCCGGAUUCAUUGGGUUUAAAGGGUGCGCAGGCGGACUCAUAAGUCAGUGGUGAAAGCCUACAGCUUAACUGUAGAAAUGCCAUUGAUACUGUAAGUCUUGAGUUUGGUUGAGGUAAGCGGAAUGAGACAUGUAGCGGUGAAAUGCUUAGAUAUGUCUCAGAACACCAAUUGCGAAGGCAGCUUACUAAGCCAAUACUGACGCUGAGGCACGAAAGCGUGGGGAGCGAACGGGAUUAGAUA